rnacentral:rRNA from 1 species
UACAGGGGGUGCAAACGUUGCUCGGAAUUAUUGGGCGUAAAGCGCGCGUAGGCGGCUACCUAAGUCGGAUGUGAAAGCCCCCGGCUCAACUGGGGAGGGUCAUUCGAAACUGUCCAACUCGAAGGCAGGAGAGGGAAGCGGAAUUCCCGGUGUAGUGGUGAAAUGCGUAGAUAUUGGGAGGAACACCGGUGGCGAAGGCGGGUCUCUGGGCCGAUAUUGACGCUGAGGAGCGAAAGCGUGGGGAGCGAACAGG